rnacentral:rRNA from 1 species
AGCUUGACACUGAACAUUGAGCCUUGAUGUGUAGGAUAGGUGGGAGGCUUUGAAGUGUGGACGCCAGUCUGCAUGGAGCCGACCUUGAAAUACCACCCUUUAAUGUUUGAUGUUCUAACGUUGGCCCCUUAUCGGGGUUGCGGACAGUGUCUGGUGGGUAGUUUGACUGGGGCGGUCUCCUCCUAAAGAGUAACGGAGGAGCACGAAGGUUGGCUAAUCCUGGUCGGACAUCAGGAGGUUAGUGCAAUG